AGCCUGCAUGACUGUAAGUCACGUUGGAUAAAAGUGUCUGCUAAAUGGCAUAUA
rfam:Salmo salar isolate Sally breed double haploid chromosome ssa12, whole genome shotgun sequence.